GGGUGACAGGUGGUGGUAUGGUUGUCGUCAGCUCGUGUCGUGAGAUGUUGGGUUAAGUCCCGCAACGAGCGCAACCCUCGACCUUAGUUGCCAGCAUUCAGUUGGGCACUCUAAGGUGACUGCCGGCUAAAAGUCGGAGGAAGGUGGGGAUGACGUCAAAUCAUCAUGCCCCUUAUGACCUGGGCUACACACGUGCUACAAUGGGCGGUACAAAGGGUCGCGAACCCGCGAGGGGGAGCAAAUCCUAAAAAGCCGGUCUCAGUUCGGAUUGCAGGCUGCAAUUCGCCUGCAUGAAGUCGGAAUCGCUAGUAAUCGCAGGUCAGCAUACUGCGGUGAAUACGCUCCCGGGCCUU
rnacentral:rRNA from 1 species